UACGUAGGGUGCAAGCGUUGUCCGGAAUUAUUGGGCGUAAAGAGCUCGUAGGCGGUUGUCGCGUCGAAUGUGAAAACCCGGGGCUCAACCCCGGGCCUGCAUUCGAUACGGGCAGACUAGAGUUCGGUAGGGGAGUCUGGAAUUCCUGGGUGUAGCGGUGAAAUGCGCAGAUAUCAGGAGGAACACCGGUGGCGAAGGCGGGACUCUGGGCCGAUACUGACGCUGAGGAGCGAAAGCGUGGGAGCAAACAGG
rnacentral:rRNA from 1 species